rnacentral:rRNA from 1 species
UUUAAAACUUUAAAUAAGAAAAAAGAUCCAGAAAAUACUGAUCAAAGAAAAAAGUUACCGCAGGGAUAACAGCGUUAUUCUCUUUAAGAGCCCAUAUUGACAAGAGAGUUUGCGACCUCGAUGUUGGACCGGGGCACCCAAGAGGUGUAGCAGCCUCUAAAGGUAGGUCUGUUCGACCUUUAAAAGCCCCUACGUGAUUCUGAGUUCAAGACCCGACGCAAGU